UUGAGUUGCUUCCAUGCCUUGUAUAUAGUGCUAAGCUAUGUUUUAUAAUAAAAAAGCAUCAACAAUGUAUAAGGAAAAUGUUAAAUGUUAAUAAUCCUCCUCCCUCUGCAAACACAGCCGUAUCCAAUCCCACCUUUAGGGGUAUGUUUCUUACCUUCUUCUCUAUGCUCAUGCAAACCUGUCUACCCAAAUACCCCUACAAAAGUGGGGCCACCUGCACACAUUAACUGCAACUUGCCUACUUUUUUCUCUUAGUCUACUUUGGACUUUAUUUUUUCAGAUCGGUAGAUGAGAGAUCUAACUUGCUUCUGUUAGCUGCUUCAUAUCGCAUAACGGGGAUAGACAGGCAGGUUAAUGGCCUCGUGCGUGGUCUCAGAGUUGAUAAAUGGUGGAACCAGAUGACAGACGACAGUCUGUUUACAUCUGUGUGGGACCCCCUGGGAGCCUGGGGGUUUUCAGUCUGCAGGUAGGAGCGUCCGUGUGUGUCCUACAGCACUGCAGGUAAAAGCAUCAUGAUGUUGGAAGAAGAGAAGUUCUAGAGACGGCUGAUCAGGACUUAGCCCCGGAAAAACUGAGAUUUGAGCAAAUUAUUCCAAUCCCAAGAUGCAUCACGGAAUUACUAGAAGAUUUGAACUUAGAUCGGUACACACCAGAGGCGCCGUUUCAUCCCUUGCCCAGAGCUAUCAUGCAUAACACCAGGCGAAUGCAGGAACGAGGUCAGAAAGAGGAGUCUCAGCUGGAGUUGAUAAAAUCAGCAUUUCCUACCUCAACUGUGAAGGGCUGUUGAAGCAUCCAGGUGGAAAUGUCCAGCUGAUGAUGAGAAAAGAAGGAGAGAAGCGAGAAGGCCAGGUAGGGAGUCUGGGACUCAGGCCCCGCGACACUGGGGUGACAGUGAGGCCCUAACAGAAUCAGUGCCUAUUUAGACCCACUUCUGAAUUUCCAUUUUUCUUUUGUUUUUUUUGCGGUACGCAGGCCUCUCACUG